AACGCGAAGAACCUUACCUGGGCUUGACAUGUUUCUGACCGCCGUGGAAACACGGUUUCUCUUCGGAGCAGAAUCACAGGUGGUGCAUGGCUGUCGUCAGCUCGUGUCGUGAGAUGUUGGGUUAAGUCCCGCAACGAGCGCAACCCUUAUCCCUAGUUGCCAUCGGGUCAAGCCGGGCACUCUAGUGAAACCGCCCGGGAUAACCGGGAGGAAGGUGGGGAUGACGUCAAGUCCUCAUGGCCUUUAUGUCCAGGGCUACACACGUGCUACAAUGGUCGGUACAAACCGUCGCAAACCCGCGAGGGGGAGCUAAUCGCAAAAAAGCGACGCUCAGUUCGGAUUGCAGUCUGCAACUCGACUGCAUGAAGCCGGAAUCGCUAGUAAUGGCGCAUCAGAACGGCGCCGUGAAUACGUUCCCGGGCCUUGUACACACCGGCUAC
rnacentral:rRNA from 1 species